GACGAACGCUGGCGGCGUGCUUAACACAUGCAAGUCGAACGGAAAGGCCCUGCUUGCAGGGUACUCGAGUGGCGAACGGGUGAGUAACACGUGGGUGAUCUGCCCUGCACUUCGGGAUAAGCUUGGGAAACUGGGUCUAAUACCGGAUAGGACCGCACUUUAGUGUGUGUGGUGGAAAGUUUUUUCGGUGUAGGAUGAGCUCGCGGCCUAUCAGCUUGUUGGUGGGGUAAUGGCCUACCAAGGCGGCGACGGGUAGCCGGCCUGAGAGGGUGUACGGCCACAUUGGGACUGAGAUACGGCCCAGACUCCUACGGGAGGCAGCAGUGGGGAAUAUUGCACAAUGGGCGCAAGCCUGAUGCAGCGACGCCGCGUGGGGGAUGAAGGCCUUCGGGUUGUAAACGCCUUUCGCUAGGGACGAAGCUUUUUGUGACGGUACCUAGAUAAGAAGCACCGGCUAACUACGUG
rnacentral:rRNA from 1 species